AUUAGUAGCGAGAUGUAGGUGAGAAUCCUACAGGCCGAAUAUCUAAGGUUUCCUCAGGAAGGCUCGUCCGCUGAGGGUUAGUCGGGACCUAAGCCGAGGCCGAAAGGCGUAGGCGAUGGACAACAGGUUGAUAUUCCUGUACCACUACCAUCGUUAUUAUCGAGGGUGUGACGGAGAAGGAUAGUGUGUGCUAGCGAUUGGAAAUGCUAGUCUAAGCGUUUAGGCAGUUACGGUAGGCAAAUCCGCUGUAAUGUUAAUGCUGAGGCGUGAUGGGGAAAGCCAUUUAGGCUGAAGUACAUGAUUCCAUGCUUCCAAGAAAAGCAUCUAGAGAGAGAAGUAGUGCCCGUACCGCAAACCGACACAGGUAGAUGAGGAGAGAAUCCUAAGGCCGGCGGAAGAAUUGCAGUUAAGGAACUAGGCAAAUUGACCCCGUAAGUUAGCGAGAAGGGGUGCCUACGAGAGUAGGCCGCAGAGAAUAGCCCCAAGCAACUGUUUAGCAAAAACACAGGUCUCUGCUAAAGCGCAAGCUGAUGUAUAGGGGCUGACGCCUGCCCGGUGCUGGAAGGUUAAGGGGAACACUUAGCGCAAGCGAAGGUGUGAACUUAAGCCCCGGUAAACGGCGGCCGUAACGAUAACGGUCCUAAGGUAGCGAAAUUCCUUGUCAGGUAAGUUCUGACCCGCACGAAUGGCGUAAUGACUUGGGCACUGCCUCAACUGCAAAUCCGGCGAAGUCGUAGUGCGAGUGAAGAUGCUCGCUACCCGCGAUUGGACGGAAAGACCCCGUAGAGCUUUACUGUAGCUUAGCAUUGAAUUCCGGUAUUGUCUGUACAGGAUAGGUGGGAGACUGGGAAACUAGGGCGUCAGCCUUAGUGGAGUCAUCCUUGGGAUACCACCCUGACAGUACUGGGGUUCUAACAGGAUGCCAUGAAUCUGGUGACUGGACAUUGUUAGGUGGGCAGUUUGACUGGGGCGGUCGCCUCCUAAAAAGUAACGGAGGCGCCCAAAGGUUCCCUCAGAACGGUCGGAAAUCGUUCGUAGAGUGCAAAGGCAGAAGGGAGCCUGACUGCGAGACCUACAAGUCGAGCAGGGACGAAAGUCGGGCUUAGUGAUCCGGUGGUACCUCGUGGGAGGGCCAUCGCUCAACGGAUAAAAGCUACCUCGGGGAUAACAGGCUGAUCUCCCCCAAGAGUCCACAUCGACGGGGAGGUUUGGCACCUCGAUGUCGGCUCGUCGCAUCCUGGGGCUGUAGUAGGUCCCAAGGGUUGGGCUGUUCGCCCAUUAAAGCGGCACGCGAGCUGGGUUCAGAACGUCGUGUGACAGUUCGGUCCCUAUCCGUCGCGGGCGUAGGAAAUUUGAGAGGAGCUGUCCUUAGUACGAGAGGACCGGGAUGGACUGACCUCUGGUGCACCGGUUGUUCUGCCAAGAGCAUGGCUGGGUAGCUAAGUCGGGAAGGGAUAAACGCUG
rnacentral:rRNA from 1 species